CGCCGUUUACUGCCAUCUCUUAGGCUAUGUCUGCCUAUGCUCUGGCAAGAUUCUGUGGGCCUGCAAGAAACUGAACAACCUUUGCCACGUCUAAUUGGCAGUGCUGGACCAAAAGAGCUCAAUGAAGUGGAAGUGUCAAGGCCGUGCUUACAGCCAAGAUUGUGGAGGACCAAUGGAAGCUGAUAAACUAGGUUCAUGCCCAGUGCUAAGGCCAACGGCGAUUUUGACUGGGGUAGCCACCUUCCACAGAUACUUCAGUAGUAUUGCUUAACAAGGAAGUUGAUGUGCUCAAAAACAAGGCAGUCGCUACUGUCCUGCUGGAACUGGGAAGUCUGCCAUAGGUCCAUGUCUCAAGGAAAUACAUAAUUCUUCCCCUCAAAUUAGCCCAUGGACUGAAAAGAGAGGGGACCCUGACUGGACAGGGAGACGGUCUCGUUUGUGACAGCAGCUACUGACGAUCACCUCUAGAAACCCUCGAGACAGCAUUCAAUGAAAGGAUCUGGGGAGACAAGAUUUUUUGGACAGGAUCGUGCCCUUCAAUAAAAAAGCUGGAACUACGGACUGCUGAUGUUUGUUCUUUCCGGCAAAAAGGGGCCAAGCUUCAAGCAUGGAUUUCAAGUUUGCUGGUCACGGUUUGGGCCAUCCAGCAGCUUUAGCAGGGCCAUCGGUCUGCGGGAGCCCUGAGAGAAAACAUGGAGGCUAACCAGAGCAGACACCUUUACUAGUCGGAACCCAUGCCCAGACUGCCAGCA